rnacentral:rRNA from 1 species
UACGUAGGGGGCUAGCUUUGUCCGGAAUCAUUGGGCGUAAAGCGCGUGUAGGCGGCCCGGUAAGUCCGCUGUAAAAGUCAGGGGCUCAACCCUUGAAAGCCGGCCGAUACUGUCUGGCUAGAGUCCGGAAGGGGCGAGUGGAAUUCCUGGUGUAGCGGUGAAAUGCGCAGAUAUCAGGAGGAACACCAAUGGCGAAGGCAGCUCGCUGGGACGGUACUGACGCUGAGGCGCGAAAGCGUGGGGAGCGAACAGG